GGCUGAGAGAUCAGCUGUUCCCUUCGGGGACAGAAUGACAGGUGGUGCAUGGUUGUCGUCAGCUCGUGUCGUGAGAUGUUGGGUUAAGUCCCGCAACGAGCGCAACCCUUAUGAUCAGUUGCCAGCAUUCAGUUGGGCACUCUGGUCAGACUGCCGGUGACAAACCGGAGGAAGGCGGGGAUGACGUCAAAUCAUCAUGCCCCUUAUGACCUGGGCUACACACGUGCUACAAUGGGUGGUACAACGAGCAGCGAGACCGCGAGGUCAAGCGAAUCUCUAAAAACCAUCCUCAGUUCGGAUUGCAGGCUGCAACUCGCCUGCAUGAAGCUGGAAUCGCUAGUAAUCGCGGAUCAACACGCCGCGGUGAAAACGUUCCCGGGUCUUGUACACCCCGAA
rnacentral:rRNA from 1 species